rnacentral:rRNA from 1 species
AUGCAGUCGUGGGGCAGCAUGACUGUAGCAAUACAGUUGAUGGCGACCGGCAAACGGGUGCGGAACACGUACGCAAUCUACCCAAAACUGGUGAAUAGCCUUCCGAAAGGAAGAUUAAUACACCGUAACAUAAUGAAGUGGCAUCACUUUAUUAUUAUAGCUCCGGCGGUUUUGGAUGGGCGUGCGCCUGAUUAGGUAGUUGGCGGGGUAACGGCCCACCAAGCCUGCGAUCAGUAACUGGUGUGAGAGCACGACCAGUCACACGGGCACUGAGACACGGGCCCGACUCCUACGGGAGGCAGCAGUAAGGAAUAUUGGUCAAUGGACGCAAGUCUGAACCAGCCAUGCCGCGUGAAGGAUGAAGGUCCUCUGGAUUGUAAACUUCUUUUAUAGGGGACGAAACCUCUUUUUCUAAAGAGA